rnacentral:rRNA from 1 species
AUUGAACGCUGGCGGCAGGCCUAACACAUGCAAGUCGAACGGUAACAGGAAGCAGCUUGCUGCUUUGCUGACGAGUGGCGGACGGGUGAGUAAUGUCUGGGAAACUGCCCGAUGGAGGGGGAUAACUACUGGAAACGGUAGCUAAUACCGCAUAACGUCGCAAGACCAAAGGGGGGGACCUUAGGGCCUCUUGCCAUCGGAUGUGCCCAGAUGGGAUUAGCUAGUAGGUGGGGUAACGGCUCACCUAGGCGACGAUCCCUAGCUGGUCUGAGAGGAUGACCAGCCACACUGGAACUGAGACACGGUCCAGACUCCUACGGGAGGCAGCAGUGGGGAAUAUUGCACAAUGGGCGCAAGCCUGAUGCAGCCAUGCCGCGUGUAUGAAGAAGGCCUUCGGGUUGUAAAGUACUUUCAGCGGGGAGGAAGGGAGUAAAGUUAAUACCUUUGCUCAUUGACGUUACCCGCAGAAGAAGCACCGGCUAACUCCGUG